UACGGAGGGUGCAAGCGUUAUCCGGAUUCACUGGGUUUAAAGGGUGCGUAGGCGGGUCGGUAAGUCAGUGGUGAAAUCUUCGAGCUUAACUCGGAAACUGCCAUUGAUACUAUCGAUCUUGAAUUCUCUGGAGGUGAGCGGAAUAUGUCAUGUAGCGGUGAAAUGCUUAGAUAUGACAUAGAACACCAAUUGCGUAGGCAGCUCGCUACGGAGUCAUUGACGCUGAGGCACGAAAGCGUGAGGAUCAAACAGG
rnacentral:rRNA from 1 species